UACGUAGGCAGCGAGCGUUGUUCGGAGUUACUGGGCGUAAAGAGUGCGUAGGCGGUGUUCCAAGUCUGUUGUGAAAUCUCCCGGCUCAACUGGGAGGGUGCGGCGGAAACUGGGACGCUGGAGUACGGGAGAGGUAAGCGGAAUUCCUGGUGUAGCGGUGAAAUGCGUAGAUAUCAGGAGGAACACCUGCGGUGUAGACGGCUUACUGGACCGUAACUGACGCUGAGACACGAAAGCGUGGGUAGCAAACAGG
rnacentral:rRNA from 1 species